rnacentral:rRNA from 1 species
GAUAAACGCUGGCGGCGCACAUAAGACAUGCAAGUCGAACGGACUUAACUCAUUCUUUUAGAUUGAGAGCGGUUAGUGGCGGACUGGUGAGUAACACGUAAGCAACCUGCCUAUCAGAGGGGAAUAACAGUGAGAAAUCAUUGCUAUUACCGCAUAAGCUAGUAGUAUCGCAUGAUAUAGCUAGAAAAGGAGCAAUCCGCUGAUAGAUGGGCUUGCGUCUGAUUAGCUAGUUGGUGGGGUAACGGCCUACCAAGGCGACGAUCAGUAGCCGGACUGAGAGGUUGAACGGCCACAUUGGGACUGAGAUACGGCCCAGACUCCUACGGGAGGCAGCAGUCGGGAAUAUUGCGCAAUGGAGGAAACUCUGACGCAGUGACGCCGCGUAUAGGAAGAAGGUUUUCGGAUUGUAAACUAUUGUCGUGAGGGAAGAAAUUGACAGUACCUCAGGAGGAAGCUCCGGCUAACUAUGUGCCAGCAGCCGCGGUAAUACAUAGGGAGCAAGCGUUAUCCGGAUUUAUUGGGUGUAAAGGGUGCGUAGACGGGAAAUUAAGUUAGUUGUGAAAUCCCUCGGCUUAACUGAAGAACUGCAACUAAAACUGAUUUUCUUGAGUACUGGAGAGGAAAGUGGAAUUCCUAGUGUAGCGGUGAAAUGCGUAGAUAUUAGGAGGAACACCAGUGGCGAAGGCGACUUUCUGGACAGUAACUGACGUUGAGGCACGAAAGUGUGGGGAGCAAACAGAGUUAGAUACCCUGGUAGUCCACACUGUAAACGACUUAGUGGGGGUAGGAUGUAUUUAGCAUUCUGUGCCGCCGUUUACGCAUUAAGUAUCCCACGUGGGGAGUACGACCGCAUGGUUGAAACUCAAAGGAAUUGACGGGGGCCCGCACAAGCAGUGGAGUAUGUGGUUUAAUUGGAAGCAACGCGAAGAACCUUACCAGGAGCUUGACAUAAACAGGAAUAAGCUAGAGAUAGCUUAGCUCUUCGGAGUCUGUUUACAGGUGGUGCAUGGUUGUCAUCAGCUCGUGUCGUGAGAUGUUGGGUUAAGUCCCGCAACGAGCACAACCCCUGCUUUUAGUUGCCAGCACGUAAUGGUGGGAACUCUAGAAGGACUGCCGGUGAUAAAUCGGAGGAAGGUGGGGACGACGUCAAAUCAUCAUGCCCUUUAUGUCCUGGGCUACACACGUACUACAAUGGCCGCAACAGAGGGAAGCAAAAUAGUGAUAUGGAGCAAAACCCUAAAAACGGUCUCAGUUCGGAUUGAAGGCUGAAAUUCGCCUUCAUGAAGCUGGAAUUGCUAGUAAUGGCAGGUCAGCAUACUGCCGUGAAUACGUUCCCGAGCCUUGUACACACCGCCCGUCACACCAUGAGAGUUGGGAAUACCCGAAGCCUGUGAGCUAAC